CAGCUAAUAUAAUCUGCUAAAAAAAAAUAUUUUAAUAUCUUUUUCAUUUCUACUUCUCUUAGACCUAUGAUAAAUCAUUCCUAAUCAAUUUAUUUCUCAUGUUCCUUUCUUUUUCUUCUCCAUGGUUUACGUUCUUUGUCUUUUGCCUUCAUAUAUUUUAUCUCAGGUAAGUCGGAGAUCUAAAGACACCACGGCAACGAUUUUGCUCAGCUUCUUGGACUUAAAGUUGAUGAAGAUUUCUCUUCAAAAUUCUCCACAUCUUCUACCAUCAUCUGAUUAACUCAUCAUCGUCUGAGCCUCCACUGGCAGAUCUACCAAAUUCUCUCCUUUAAAUCAACACUUUCUUUGUUAAUUUUUGUCCUACAUAUAUUUGGGUGGUUCAAGUUUGUAAUUCCAAUUAUUAUUAUUUUUUAGUAAUUUUGAUUUGUGGGUACUAAUCAAUUUGAUUUUCUGCUGUAAAAAAUUAAUGAUAUUUGAUGUGGAUACUACUUAAUUUUGAUUCUUUUCGGUAAGAUGUCUGCUAAUAAAAUUCGUAUUAUUUCAGGAUCAUCAUGAGAUUACACUUAUCUAAAGCCUAUGUUUAUAGGAAGCUAUAGAUAAAUCAGUAAAAUUCUGGGGUCUUGCAAAUUUACUCCAAAAGAAACCACCAAGAGAAGUCUUCAUCCUUUUGUGCUACAGUUAGCAGAGAUCGUUUUAGCUAAGACAAGAUAUAUAAUGCUUGGUUACUUAAUUGCUAAGAUUUACUCUUUGAAUUGUACGAUAAAAACAUUUGUAUUCUCAAUUUUUUACAAUACUGCUAAAUCCUGUAUUACUUGAUUUUGCUAUGCCUAAACUAUUGUACUUACAAA